rnacentral:rRNA from 1 species
AGAGUUUGAUCAUGGCUCAGGAUGAACGCUAGCGGGAGGCCUAACACAUGCAAGCCGAGCGGUAGAAGUCCUUCGGGACUUUGAGAGCGGCGCACGGGUGCGUAACACGUGUGCAACCUACCUUUAUCUGGGGGAUAGCCUUUCGAAAGGAAGAUUAAUACCCCAUAAUAUAUUGAAUGGCAUCAUUUAAUAUUGAAAACUCUGGUGGAUAAAGAUGGGCACGCGCAAGAUUAGAUAGUUGGUGAGGUAACGGCUCACCAAGUCAAUGAUCUUUAGGGGUCCUGAGAGGGAGAUCCCCCACACUGGUACUGAGACACGGACCAGACUCCUACGGGAGGCAGCAGUGAGGAAUAUUGGACAAUGGGUGAGAGCCUGAUCCAGCCAUCCCGCGUGAAGGACGACGGCCCUAUGGGUUGUAAACUUCUUUUGUAUAGGGAUAAACCUACUCUCGUGAGAGUAGCUGAAGGUACUAUACGAAUAAGCACCGGCUAACUCCGUGCCAGCAGCCGCGGUAAUACGGAGGGUGCAAGCGUUAUCCGGAUUUAUUGGGUUUAAAGGGUCCGUAGGCUGAUUUGUAAGUCAGUGGUGAAAUCUCACAGCUCAACUGUGAAACUGCCAUUGAUACUGCAAGUCUUGAGUGUUGUUGAAGUAGCUGGAAUAAGUAGUGUAGCGGUGAAAUGCAUAGAUAUUACUUAGAACACCAAUUGCGAAGGCAGGUUACUAAGCAACAAC